GUCAGGACAAGCUCAGGUUGGUGGAGGCGGUGGUGGUCAGGACGCAGCCUUUGGUGAUGCCGAAGACCGCGCCUUCGGUGAAGUGAAAGAGCAGCAGCAGCAGCAGCAGGGGGGGGUUGAUCAGUCGUCGGGAGCUCAGGGGGGUGGAACUGGUGAAAUCUGAAGCCGUUAGAGGCGGUUGGUUUGGGUCCUGUUUGCUUUGGGAGGGCCUGGGAAAUGUUCCUUACAAUAUGUAAUCAAUUUUCUUUUGCUUUGUUCUUUUCUGGUGGCUUUGUCUUUGUGUUCGUGUUUGUGGUAUCUUGAUGUGUAUAAAUAAAGUAGACAACGUGUAAUUCA